UGCCAGCCGCCGCGGUAAUACGGAGGGGGUUAGCGUUGUUCGGAAUUACUGGGCGUAAAGCGUACGUAGGCGGGAAUCUAAGUCAGUGGUGAAAUCCUGCAGCUCAACUGUAGCAUUGCCUUUGAUACUGUUAGACUUGAGUUAUUGUGAAGUAGUUAGAAUGUGUAGUGUAGCGGUGAAAUGCAUAGAUAUUACACAGAAUACCGAUUGCGAAGGCAGAUUACUAACAAUAUACUGACGCUGAGGGACGAAAGCGUGGGUAGCGAACAGGAUUAGAUA
rnacentral:rRNA from 1 species